GCUUACGGCCAUACCACCCUGAGAACGCCCGAUCUCGUCCGAUCUCGGAAGCUGAGCAGGGUCGGGCCUGGUUAGUACUUGGAUGGGAGACCGCCUGGGAAUACCAGGUGCUGUAAGCU
rnacentral:rRNA from 1 species